GGUCAAGUUAAAAAGAGCACUAGGAGAAUGCCUAGGCACCAAGAGGCGAAGAAGGACGUGACAAGCUGCGAAAAGCUGAGGUUAGCUGCAAAUAAGCCAAGCCUCAGAUAUCCGAAUGGGGAAACCCACCUCAAAAGAGGAAUCCUAUAGCCAAUAAAUAACUAUAGGAAGCGAACCAGGUGAACUGAAACAUCUAAGUAACCUGAGGAAGAGAAAGAAAACUCGAUUCCCAAAGUAGCGGCGAGCGAACAGGGAAGAGCCCAAACGUGUAAAAAGAGAAAAUAGCCAGUCGAAUCAUCUGGGAAGACGAACCAAAGAAGGUAACAGUCCCGUAGACGAAGGCGAAGAUAUCCGACACAAAAGAGUACCACGGAACACGAGAAAUUCAGUGGGAAUACAGGGGGACCACCCCCUAAGGCUAAAUACUACUUGGUGACCGAUAGCGAACAAGUACCGUGAGGGAAAGGUGAAAAGAACCCCGGGAGGGGAGUGAAAUAGAAUCUGAAACCUAGUGUUUACAAGCAGCGAAAGUGGCAAAAGCCACGAUCGUGUACUUUUUGUAGAACGGGCCAGCGAGUUACGAUUACAAGCAAGGUUAAACAUUAAAGAUGUGGAGCCGAAGCGAAAGCGAGUCUAAAGAGGGCAAAAGUUAGUAGUCGUAGACCCGAAACCGUGUGAUCUAUCCAUGAGCAGAGUGAAGUUGAAGUAAAAUUCAAUGGAGGCUCGAACCGGGUAGCGUUUAAAAGCUAUCGGAUGACUUGUGGAUAGGGGUGAAAAGCCAAACGAACACGGAGAUAGCUGGUUCUCCUCGAAAUAGCUUUAGGGCUAGCCUCUAGCAAGAAUGAAAAGGGGGUAGAGCACUGACUGGUCAAGGGGCAUGCAUAUGUUACCGAGACCUAUCAAACUCCGAAUACCAAAUCAUACGCUAGGGAGUCAGACUAUGGGGGAUGAGCUUCAUAGUCGAAAGGGAAAGAGCCCAGACCAUCAGCUAAGGUCCCAAAAUUAUAGUUAAGUGGGAAAGGAUGUGGAGUUACUGAGACAACUAGGAUGUUGGCUUAGAAGCAGCCACUCAUUUAAAGAGUGCGUAAUAGCUCACUAGUCAAGUGACUCUGCGCCGAAGAUAACCGGGGCUAAACUAUAUACCGAAGCUAUGGAACGAAAAACGUUGGUAGAGGAGCAAUGUAUGAAGGAAGAAGCAGAAGUUGAAAAGCACUGUGGACAUCAUACAAGAGAGAAUGCUGGCAUGAGUAGCGAGAGGUGAGUGAGAAUCUCACCCGUCGAAAACCUAAGGAUUCCUGAGCAAGGCUCGUCCACUCAGGGUAAGUCGGGACCUAAGGCGAGGCUGAAAAGCGUAGUCGAUGGACAACAGGUUGAAAAUCCUGUACCGAUACAAUCAGUGAGGAAGUGGGGACGCAGAAGGAUAAUAAGAGCGCCCAGUUGGUGAGGCGUGCAAGCGCAAAGGAUGGGAAGUAGGCAAAUCCGCUUUCCGAGAAGUCUAAAGCGUGAUGCGGAUCGAAAACAAGUAGAGAAGCUUAUAACUCCACACUGCCAAGAAAAGCCACUACAAGAGAAGUAUCGCCCGUACCGCAAACCGACACAGGUAGGUGAGGAGAGAAUCCUAAGACGAGCGGAAAAACCUUUGUUAAGGAACUCGGCAAAAUGACCCCGUAACUUCGGGAGAAGGGGAGCCCCUGUAAAAGGGGGCCGCAGUGAAAAGGCCCAAGCGACUGUUUACCAAAAACACAAGUUUCUGCGAAGUCGAAAGACGAAGUAUAGGAGCUGACACCUGCCCGGUGCUGGAAGGUUAAGGGAAAAAGUUAGCAUAAGCGAAGCUUAGAACUGAAGCCCCAGUAAACGGCGGCCGUAACUAUAACGGUCCUAAGGUAGCGAAAUUCCUUGUCGGGUAAGUUCCGACCCGCACGAAAGGUGUAACGAUUUGGG
rnacentral:rRNA from 1 species